rnacentral:snRNA from 1 species
GUGCUUACUUCAGCACACAUAUACUGAAAUUGGAGUGAUGCAGAGAUUAGCAUGGCCCCUGUACAAGGACACACAAAUUCGUCAAGCAGCCCAUAUAAUU